rnacentral:tRNA from 1 species
GCGGAUAUAGAUUAAUGGUAAAUUAUCUGCCUUCCAAGCAAAUGAUAUGGGUUCGAUUCCCAUUAUCCGCU